UGAGGCCGCUGGAAACGUU
rnacentral:misc_RNA from 1 species